rnacentral:rRNA from 1 species
AUUGAACGCUGGCGGCAGGCCUAACACAUGCAAGUCGAACGAGUGGCGGACGGGUGAGUAAUGUCUGGGAAACUGCCUGAUGGAGGGGGAUAACUACUGGAAACGGUAGCUAAUACCGCAUACCAUCGGAUGUGCCCAGAUGGGAUUAGCUAGUAGGUGAGGUAACGGCUCACCUAGGCGACGCUCCCUAGCUGGGCUGAGAGGAUGAACAGCCACACGGGAACUGAGACACGGUCCAGAUGCCUACGGUGGGAAGCAGUGGGGAAUAUUGCACAAGGUGCGCAAGCCUGAUGCAGCCAUGCCGCGUGUAUGAAUAAGGCCUUCGGGUUGUAAAGUACUUUCAGCGGGUAGGCGUUACCCGCAGAAGAAGCACCGGCUAACUCCGUGCCAGCAGCCGCGGUAAUAC